rnacentral:rRNA from 1 species
GAUGAACGCUGGCGGCGCGCCUAACACAUGCAAGUCGAACGAUUAAAGCACCUUCGGGUGUGUAUAAAGUGGCGAACGGCUGAGUAACACGUGGGCAACCUGCCCCUUUCAUUGGGAUAGCCACGGGAAACCGUGGAUAAUACCGAAUACUUCGAGACUUCCGCAUGGAAGACUCGAGAAAGCUCCGGCGGAGAGGGAUGGGCCCGCGGCCUGUUAGCUUGUUGGUGGGGUAACGGCCUACCAAGGCAAUGAUGGGUAGCUGGGUUGAGAGACCGACCAGCCAGAUUGGGACUGAGACGCGGCCCAGACUCCUACGGGAGGCAGCAGUGGGGAAUCUUGAACAAUGGGCGAAAGCCUGAUGCAGCGACGCCGCGUGCGGGAUGAAGGCCUUCGGGUUGUAAACCGCUUUCAGCAGGGACGAGGCGAAAGUGACGGUACCUGCAGAAGAAGCCCCGGCUAACUACGUG